CUGUUUACCAAAAACAUAGGUUUCUGCUAAGACGGAGACUAUGUAUAGGGGCUGACGCCGGCCAGGUGCUGGAAGGUUAAGGGGAUCUGAUAGAGCGAUCGAAGCAGCGAACUUAAGCGCCACUGACCGGCGGCCGUAACCAUAACGGUCCUAAGGUAGCGAAAUUCCUUGUCGUGUAAGUUCCGACCCGCACGAAAGGCGUAACGAUUUGGGCACUGUCUCAACAGCAGACUCGGUGAAA
rnacentral:rRNA from 1 species